UACGCGUUGGACUCGACAUGGAGACCGGACCGGGCGCGCGCGCCCUGCUCACGUUCUCCCUCCUGCUCGUCGCCGCUCGCUGCGCGGACGCGUUCACCAUCCACAUGACAGCCCGCUGCCCAGCCGAGAGCAAGAGCUGGUCCGAGGCGAGGCUGUACUGCCAGAAGAACCACCGCGACCUGGCCACCUGGGACAUGGUGAGCGGCUCCGAGGUGGCUCAGGCGCUGCAGAGCGCGGAGGUCGAACACGCCUGGAUCGGUCUGCGCAGAGACCCCGAGAACGAAGACGCGUGGAAGUGGAUCAACCUGACAAGUGGAGAGGGGGUCUCGGGGGAAGACCUCUCCAAUAGAACCGAGUGGGCCGCAGGACAGCAGAGCGCACACUGCGCAAUAAUGACAUCAGAUUCAACGUGGCAGAGUGUGAAGUGUGUCUCCAACUAUCGUUACAACUGCCAAAACCAGACUGGUAUGCGACUGUACUCUUUGUUUCUCCACACCUGGUACGCGUCUGUGCCCUGUUAUGGGUGGAGUGGUUAUAAGCUUGUCACAAUCACCGCAGAGACCUCAGUUACAUAUAUAUACACCGGCUGGAUCGGACUGUACAGAAGUGCCGGCGACAGCUGGAAGUGGAUAUCAGGUGAUACUUCCGACUACAGGAACUGGGCCCCCGGAGAGCCCAUCACCUCGGACUGCGGCUCUUUCGACCUCGGCAGCGCACAGUGGAACAGCAAAGUGUGCUCCGAGGAGCAGCGGUUCGCCUGCUACGACGACAACGUGGUGGUGGUGGCCGAGAACAAGACGUGGGAAGGCGCCCUGAGCCACUGCAGGAGCAUGCAGAGCCGGUGUGAGGACACCAAGAACCCCUGCAGAUACCGAUACGACCUCCUGAGCCUGGAGCUCCCCUCGGACUACAGCUACGUCAGAAGCCGGCUCUUCGGGGCCGAGACCGACGAGGUUUGGACCAGCCUCCGCUUCUUGGGAGGAGAGUGGUGGUGGGCGGAUGGCCAGAAGCUGGAGGACCAGGGGACCCUGCCGGACUGCCCGUCCCCGGGGGAAUACUGUGGUGUCCUGUCCAAAAACAACACCGACAACUGGAUCACCAGGGACUGCGCGGAGCGACGAAACUUCGUCUGCUAUAAAGAAAAAUACUUUCUCAUGCCGGAGCAACCGAGCUGAUCGCAUGGGCUGUUAUAGUUUAGGGGUUUUUUUAGCCUUUUUAAUGCUUCUUUAUCAAUGUCUGUUCUAUUUCUAAACUCUCUCAAUAACAGAGUGGUCUAGAUUUAAUAUGGAAAUUGUGUAUUUCCUGGUUUAUUUAUAGCCAAAGAGUGAGAAAGAAUUAGAGGGUGUGAGGAUGACCUUUGACCUUUAUCAAAAACAGAUGUGUUUUUUAGCGGUUUAUAGAUGCUUGUGUUAUCUGUAGUGUAAACAUUCAAAUGUUUGCCCAACUAUUCAUUCAAACUCAUCAUUAAAUGAAAUCACGACUUGCUCCAGGUGCAUUCCUGCAGUGCUAAAUGUUUUAAAUUAAAAAACCUUAUAUUGCCUCGUGUAUCGUGGUUGCAUGUUUAUUUUUUCAAAAUACUUAAAGUGUACUUAAAGUGUAUCCUUAAUUCUAAUCUAUAUAGUAAUUAUAAUCUAUAUAGUACACUUACAAGAGGUGUUUGGUUUCUGACAUACUGUUUUCAUCAUUUGGGAUGUUGGAGCUUCCUGAAGGUAAAACAUAUUAACCAAGAUGUAUUAAUGAUAAUAACUGACUCCCACUUUGUGUGUGUGUGUGUGUAAGUGUGUGUGUGCUUGUGUCUGUAAGUGUGUGUAAGUGUGUGUGUGCUUGUGUGUGCGUGUUUGAGCUAUGUGGAACUCAUGAAACCUCUACUGGGUGUAGUCGGACGCAUUUGGAGGUUGAACCGACCCGACUUCCGUUUGUCAUUAGACGAGCCCGCAGCACAGCCUGCCUCCUUUCAGCUCUUCUACCGCAGGAGCCGAGUUGUGUGACCAGACACCAUGACGCUGUUUCACUUCGGGAACUGCUUCGCCCUGGCCUAUUUCCCUUACUUUAUAACAUACAAGUGCAGUGGCCUUUCAGAGUACAAUGCCUUCUGGAGAUGCGUCCAGGCUGGAGCGACCUACCUGUUUGUCCAACUCUGUAAGAUGCUGUUCCUCGCUACAUUUUUCCCCACGUGGGAAGGAGGAGCUGGAGUUUAUGACUUUAUCGGGGAAUUUAUGAAGGCCACAGUGGACCUGGCGGACCUGUUGGGGCUCCACCUUGUGAUGUCCCGUAACGCCGGUAAAGGGGAGUACAAGAUCAUGGUGGCUGCCAUGGGCUGGGCUACGGCCGAACUCGUGAUGUCCAGGUGUCUCCCUCUGUGGGUGGGAGCCAGAGGGAUUGAGUUUGACUGGAAGUACAUCCAGAUGAGCUUUGACUCUAACAUCAGUUUGGUGCAUUACAUCGCCAUGGCAGCAGUGGUGUGGAUGUUCACGCGAUAUGACCUCCCUAAGAGCUUCAGGCUUCCUGUCACUGUGCUGCUGGCUCUCUGUGUCUACAAGGCCUUCUUGAUGGAGUUGUUCGUCCACGUCUUCCUGCUGGGCAGUUGGACCGUGUUGUUGGUGAAAGCCGUGCUGACCGGCGCCAUCUCUCUCUGCUCCCUGUUUCUCUUCGUCACUCUGGUCCACAGCAACUAAAGUACACGUCGGCGCCCUGGAUUUAGCCCGCAACGGUCUCUCGCGGUCCAGACCGGACCUGGGUUGUCAUAAAUCUGAAGCCCUGAUACGAGUAUCACCGUAAAAACAUCAAAGACUACUCAAAAAAAAGAGGUGCUUGUUAAUAUUGAGUAUCGGUGACUGAUCUGACGUUUUAAAACAAGGCUAAGCUAGCGCCUGGUGAGCUAACCACUUCUUAUCCAGAUUGAUGGAAGACCCUGGAGCUUAGUUUGUUGUCAGUCCCCCAGUUAAAGCCGCAGGUUGAGUGGCGACACCAGGAAACGUCUAAUAUGAUCGCUGUGUUGGUUUUUUUGUCGAGAGGUGAAUUUUGUACCAGAACCGCCACAGAUGUAUAAACUUCUUUUCUAUGUGUCGUCCGAUGAGCCAGUGUGUAAACGCUCUUAGAUCGUCAAGUGAAUUCAUGACCGUGAUAGUUAAUUGUGUGCCCGCCAAUUUAUUUAUAAACAAUUUAAUAUUAGAAAUUAAAACAUAACCGUAGCAAGAUUGUUUUUCAAUUUUUUUUGUAUUAAAGAUUUAAAAACAUUUAAUUAAAAGAAAAGCAGAUCCGCUGACUGAAUAAACUGAAGUCCUGUCAGCAUUAUGACCACAUCAUGUUGAAUUGUAAGCAUGUUUUGUGAUUUCUACAUUAAAUUCAAUAACUACA